GAAUUUUAUAUAAUUAUUAUUUGAAUUUUUGGUAUUUUAUAUAAGAGAGAUUAGUAGUUAUAUUUAGUUGGGAGGAUUGUUAAAUUUUUUAAACUUUAAUUAUGAUAUUACAUAGAUGAAUGAAUUAAGGAGUGAUUUAUUGUAUAAAAAAAAUAAUUAAAUAAAAAUUAAUUACCUUAGGGAUAACAGCGUAAUAUUUUUGGUGAGAUCAUAUUAAUAAAAAUGUUUGC
rnacentral:rRNA from 1 species